rnacentral:rRNA from 1 species
AACGAACGCUGGCGGCAGGCUUAACACAUGCAAGUCGAACGCCCCGCAAGGGGAGUGGCAGACGGGUGAGUAACGCGUGGGAACCUACCUUUCGGUACGGAAUAACUCGGGGAAACUCGUGCUAAUACCGUAUAUUCCGGUAACGGGAAAGAUUUAUCGCCGAAAGACGGGCGCGCGUUAGAUUAGCUAGUUGGUGGGGUAAUGGCCGACCAAGGCGACGAUCUAUAGCUGGUCAGAGAGGAUGAUCAGCCACACUGGGACGGAGACACGGCCCAGACUCCUACGGGAGGCAGCAGUUGGGAAUCUUGGACGAUGUGGGAAGCCCUGAACCAGCCCUUCCGCUUGAGUGUUCACGGCCUCAGGGUUGUAAAGCUCUUUCUCGCAUGACGAUGAUGACGGUAAGGCGAGAAGAAGCCCCGGCUAACUUCGUGCCAGCCGCCGCCGUAA